GCCAUAAUGGCGCAGUGGUAACGCGUAGCACUUGUACACAACAGGUAUGCUAAGAUCCUAAGUUCAAUUCUUAGUUGUGGCA
rfam:Sphaerulina musiva SO2202 unplaced genomic scaffold SEPMTscaffold_2, whole genome shotgun sequence.